UUGCUUGAAGAUGGCUGUGCGCCUGAUUAGGUAGUUGGCGGGGUAAUGGCCCACCAAGCCUUCGAUCAGUAACUGGUGUGAGAGCACGACCAGUCACACGGGCACUGAGACACGGGCCCG
rnacentral:rRNA from 1 species